rnacentral:rRNA from 1 species
UACGUGAGGGUGCAAGCGUUGUCCGGAAUUAUUGGGCGUAAAGAGCUCGUAGGCGGUCUGUCGCGUCGGGCUGUGAAAACCCGGGGCUCAACCCCGAGCCUGCAGUCGAUACGGGCAGACUAGAGUGCUGUAGGGGAGACUGGAAUUCCUGGUGGUAGCGGUGAAAUGCGUAGAGAUCAGAAGGAACACCCGUGGCGAAGGCGGCCACCUGGGCCUAACCUGACGCUGAGGCGCGGAAGGCUAGGGGGAGCGAACGGG